rnacentral:rRNA from 1 species
CAAUAGCGUAUAUUAAAGUUGUUGCGGUUAAAAAGCUCGUAGUUGGAUUUCUGCCGAGGACGACCGGUCCGUCCUCUGGGUGAGUAUCUGGCUCGGCCUGGGCAUCUUCUUGGAGAACGUAGCUGCACUUGACUGUGUGGUGCGGUAUCCAGGACUUUUACUUUGAGGAAAUUAGAGUGUUUCAAGCAGGCUUACGCCUUGAAUACAUUAGCAUGGAAUAAUAAGAUAGGACCUCGGUUCUAUUUUGUUGGUUUCUAGAGCUGAGGUAAUGAUUAAUAGGGAUAGUUGGGGGCAUUCGUAUUUAACUGUCAGAGGUGAAAUUCUUGGAUUUGUUAAAGACGGACUACUGCGAANGNAUUUGCNAAGGAUGUUUNCAUUG